CCAAGGAGUCUAACAUGUGCGCGAGUCAUUGGGUCCCACUACACCCAAGGCGUAUUGAACGAAAAGGCCGGCCUCCGCGCCGGCCGAGGGAAGAUGGGGUUGCGCCUGCGUAAUCCUCGCAUUCCCGGGGCGUCUCGUCCUACCGCCGCUCGUCGGCGGAAGGUGAGGCGCACCAAGAGCGCACACGUUGGGACCCGAAAGAUGGUGAACUAUGCCUGGCCAGGACGAAGUCAGGGGAAACCCUGAUGGAGGUCCGUAGCGAUUCUGACGUGCAAAUCGAUCGUCGGAGCUGGGUAUAGGGGCGAAAGACUAAUCGAACCAUCUA
rnacentral:rRNA from 1 species